rnacentral:rRNA from 1 species
CCUACGGGUGGCAGCAGUGGGGAAUAUUGCACAAUGGGCGAAAGCCUGAUGCAGCAACGCCGCGUGAGCGAUGAAGGCCUUCGGGUCGUAAAGUUCUGUCCUUAAGGAAGAUAAUGACGGUACUUGAGGAGGAAGCCCUGGCUAACUACGUGCCAGCAGCCACGGUAAUACGUAGGGGCCUAGCGUUAUCCGGAAUUACGGGGCGAAAGGGGUGGGUGGGUGGUUUCUUAGGUCAGCGGUGAAAGGCUACGGCUCAACCGUAGUAAGCCUUUGAAAGUGGGAAACUUGAGUGCAGGAGAGGAGGGUGGAAUUCCUAGUGUAGCGGUGAAAUGCGUAGAGAUUAGGAGGAACAC